rnacentral:rRNA from 1 species
UGAGGCACAUGACCUUCGGCGGGGGAUAGCCGGCCCAACGGCCGGGUAAUACCGCGUACGAUCACAUGGGGACAUCCCUGAGUGGUGAAAGCAGCAAUGCGCCGAUGGAGUGCCUCGCGGCCUAUCAGCUAGUUGGGUGGGGUAACGCCCACAAGGCGACGACGGGUAGCCGGCCUGAGAGGGUCGACCCGGCCACACGUGGGACUGAGACACGGCCAGACUCCGUACGGGAGNAGCG